rnacentral:rRNA from 1 species
AACGAACGCUGGCGGCAUGCCUAACACAUGCAAGUCGAACGAGACCUUCGGGUCUAGUGGCGCACGGGUGCGUAACGCGUGGGAACCUGCCCUUAGGUUCGGAAUAACUCCCCGAAAGGGGUGCUAAUACCGGAUAAUGUCUUCGGACCAAAGAUUUAUCGCCUUUGGAUGGGCCCGCGUUGGAUUAGCUAGUUGGUAGGGUAAAAGCCUACCAAGGCGACGAUCCAUAGCUGGUUUGAGAGGAUGAUCAGCCACACUGGGGCUAAGACACGGCCCAGACUCCUACGCAAGGCAGGAGAGGGGAAUAUUGGACGAUGGGCGAAAGCCUGAUCCAGCAAUGCCGCGUAAGAGAUGAAGGCCUUAGGGUUGUAAAGCUCUUUUACCCGGGGUGAUAAUGACGGUACCGGGAGAAUAAGCUCCGGCUAACUCCGUG